GAAGCGGUAACAGCUCAAAUUUGAAAUCUGGCUCUUGCGGAGUCCGAGUUGUAAUUUGUAGAAGAUGCUUUGGGUUGUGGGUUCGGCCUAAGUUCCUUGGAACAGGACGUCAUAGAGGGUGAGAAUCCCGUAUGUGGCCGAGGCCCGCGCCUAUGUAAAGCUCUUUCAACGAGUCGAGUUGUUUGGGAAUGCAGCUCAAAAUGGGUGGUAAAUUUCAUCUAAAGCUAAAUAUGGGCCAGAGACCGAUAGCGCACAAGUAGAGUGAUCGAAAGAUGAAAAGCACUUUGGAAAGAGAGUUAAACAGUACGUGAAAUUGUUGAAAGGGAAGCGCUUGCAACCAGACUUGGGCGCUGCCGAUCACCUUGAGUUUUCUCGAGUGCACUCGACAGCGCACAGGCCAGCAUCGGUUCGGGUGGCUGGAUAAAGGCCGUAGGAAUGUGGCUCUCUUCGGGGAGUGUUAUAGCCUACGGUGCCAUGCAGCCCAGCCGGACCGAGGACCGCGCCUUCGGGCUAGGAUGCUGGCGUAAUGGUUGUAAGCGACCCGUCUUGAAACACGGACCAAGGAGUCUAACAUCUAUGCGAGUGUUUGGGUGGUAAACCCAUACGCGGAAUGAAAGUGAACGUAGGUGAGAACCCCUUUGGGGCGCAUCAUCGACCGAUCCUGAUGUCUUCGGAUGGAUUUGAGUAAGAGCAUAGCUGUUGGGACCCGAAAGAUGGUGAACUAUGCCUGAAUAGGGUGAAGCCAGAGGAAACUCUGGUGGAGGCUCGCAGCGGUUCUGACGUGCAAAUCGAUCGUCAAAUUUGGGCAUAGGGGCGAAAGACUAAUCGAACCAUCUAGUAGCUGGUUCCUGCC
rnacentral:rRNA from 1 species